rnacentral:tRNA from 1 species
ACAUCGGUAGCACAGUGGUCAGUGCAGUCUGCCGGAAAUAGAAAGACGCGAGUUCAAUUCCCGUUCGAUGGC